rnacentral:rRNA from 1 species
UACAGAGGUCCCAAGCGUUGUUCGGAUUCAUUGGGCGUAAAGGGUGCGUAGGCGGCGCGGUAAGUCGGGUGUGAAAUCUCCCGGCUCAACCGGGAGGGUGCGCCGAAUACUGAGGGACUUCGAGUGCGGGAGAGGAAAGUGGAAUUCCUGGUGUAGCGGUGAAAUGCGUAGAUAUCAGGAGGAACACCGGUGGUGUAGACGGCUUUCUGGACCGUAACUGACGCUGAGACACGAAAGCGUGGGUAGCAAACAGG